AUCUCGUGGUUGGGACAUUGCAUAAGAUUUACAUUAAAUCUCUCCCACACCUCAAAUAGAGGUUCUCCAUUCAAUUAAAGAAAAUUGGUGAUUUUGUCACGCAAUU
rfam:Capsicum annuum cultivar Zunla-1 chromosome 9, whole genome shotgun sequence